GCAGACUGGUGAGUAAUGCGCGAGUAAUUUACCUCUAAGUCGGGGAUAGCCUUGCGAAAGCGAGGGUAGUACCCGAUGUGUUUAAGGUUACACAAGUAAUCUUAAGUAAAGGAGGCCCGCAAGGGUUUUUGUUUAGAGAUGAGCUCGCGUCCUAUCAGCUAGUUGGUGAGGUAAUGGCCCACCGAGGCUUUUGACAGGUAGCUGGCCUGAGAGGGUGGUCAGCCACAUGGGGACUGAGACACUGCCCCAACUCCUACGGGAGGCUGCAGUCGAGGAUAUUUAGCAAUGGACGAAAGUCUGACUAUGUGACGCCGCGUGAGGGAUGAAGGUCUUCGGAUCGUAAACCUCUUUCGAUAGGGAAGAAAACCUGCUCUUAACGGAGCAGACUGACGGUACCUAGAGAAGAAGCCACGGCCAACUCUGUGCCAGCAGCCGCGGUAAUACAGAGGUGGCGAGCGUUACUCGGAUUUAUUGGGUGUAAAGGGCAAGUAGGCGUCUUGACAAGUUAGGGGUGAAAUCCUGCAGCUCAACUGCAGAACUGCUCUUAAAACUGUUGAGAUUGAGACUGGGAGAGGAAAGCGGAAUUCUCGGUGUAAGAGUGAAAUCUGUAGAUAUCGAGAGGAACACCAGUGGCGAAGGCGGCUCUCUGGUCCAGUGCUGACGCUGAGUUGCGAAAGCUAGGGGAGCAAACAGGAUUAGAUACCCUGGUAGUCCUAGCCGUAAACUAUGAGCACUAGGUGCUAGAGGUUUACCUUUAGCGCCGCAAGUUAACACGUUAAGUGCUCCACCUGGGGACUACGACCGCAAGGUUA
rnacentral:rRNA from 1 species